rnacentral:rRNA from 1 species
CACGUAGGGCGCAAGCGUUGUCCGGAAUUAUUGGGCGUAAAGAGCUCGUAGGCGGACUGUUGCGUCCGCUGUGAAAAGCUGGGGCUUAACCCUGGCCUUGCAGUGGAUACGGGCAGACUAGAGGUAGGUAGGGGAGAAUGGAAUUCCUGGUGUAGCGGUGAAAUGCGCAGAUAUCAGGAGGAACACCCGUGGCGAAAGCGGCUCUCUGGGACGGUACUGACGCUGAGACGCGAAAGCGUGGGGAGCAAACAGG